GGGCACAGAGCCAGGUCAGGCAUGGGGAAGGGACCACACAGGUGAGCCAGGCAGGGCACAGUUAGGAGGAGGGCAGAGCACAAGGUGGAGGGCGGGGGCAGUACCUCCAGCGCACACAUCCCAAAGGAGAAGAUGUCCACAGCGGUCCCAUCGGCCACCUCUGAACAGAAGAGAGCACAGGACACGUAGGAGAGAAGCGCAGGGAAUUGCUUGAGGCUGCCUGAUGACACGUACUCUGUGAUGAAGAUGACCUGCACGGUGCGAGCUCAGGAUUUCCACCAGCUGCGGGUUCGUCCCCAUGCCCGCCCCACCUAGCUGUGGUCUCUGCCUGCCCGGGGCCUUGCCCGUGCUCACCCUCGCGCAGGCCUCAGAGGUAUCCAGCCAGUACUUGUGCAACUUCACGAUGUUCGGGUGGUCCACCAGCACCAGCUGCUCGAACACGGUCUGGAUCUUCUCCUGGGGAGGGAGGGUGGUCGCUGGGUGGUCAGCAGGUGGUCACCCAAGCAGGAUGAGGAGGGGGCAGCGGUCUCACCUCGUGCGCCGCGAAGGCCUUCCUGUCUCCGAAGUGGAGCUCGUUCCACACCACCUCUACCCCCUCCUCCGUGUCCAUGGCUAGGAAGGUGCUCUGAAGCCCUGGCAUGUUCCCUUGGUUUACCUGGGGGUGAAUAAAGGGUUAUGUGUG
rnacentral:lncRNA from 1 species